rnacentral:lncRNA from 1 species
AGAAACAAGGAAUGUUGGGUUUUCUCCAUAUUUACAGAUUCAAUUGUGCCCCCCUUAUUACACAAUUACGGAGACCAACAUAUUAUCUUUAAGGGUUAUUAAAUGCAUGGAGCAUAUCGCCAGAAGCGAUUUCCUAAAGAUGUAUAAAUAGCUGGGUUAAAGCUAUAUAAUGUGUCAUAAAGUUUAAUCCCUUUUAAACAAAAUCCGUUGAAAGGAUUGACAUUGCAUAAAGCAAGUCCCUAAAGGACAUGUGCUUGAAGCACAAAAUUUGUACUCAAUAUUAAUAUGCAUA